rnacentral:rRNA from 1 species
GACGAACGCUGGCGGCGUGCCUAAUACAUGCAAGUCGAGCGAAUGACGAGAAGCUUGCUUCUCUGAUUUAGCGGCGGACGGGUGAGUAACACGUGGGCAACCUGCCCUACAGAUUGGGAUAACUCAGGGAAACCUGGGCUAAUACCGGAUAAUCCUUCGAAUCACAUGUUUUGAAGUUGAAAGGCGCUUCGGCGUCACUGUAGGAUGGGCCCGCGGUGCAUUAGCUAGUUGGUGGGGUAACGGCCUACCAAGGCAACGAUGCAUAGCCGACCUGAGAGGGUGAUCGGCCACAUUGGGACUGAGACACGGCCCAAACUCCUACGGGAGGCAGCAGUAGGGAAUCUUCCACAAUGGACGAAAGUCUGAUGGAGCAACGCCGCGUGAGUGAUGAAGGUUUUCGGAUCGUAAAACUCUGUUGUAAGGGAAGAACAAGUACGUUAGGAAAUGAACGUACCUUGACGGUACCUUAUUAGAAAGCCACGGCUAACUACGUGCCAGCAGCCGCCGCAG